GGACUCUUAAACAUAUCGGACUCGCUUGUUUUUGUUUUUCUUGGGGGUAAAAUAUGAAAGUGAUAAAAAUAGAAAAACGGUCGCUAUCGAAGUUGAGCAACAUGAAAAGAGCAUCACGUGUCAUUCGUUAGGCCAUUGUUGUCCUGAUCCUUGCUGUUUUUAGCUUCCGCCGAUCCAAACCUCCCCCAUAUUAAACUUGAAAGGUUACACGUUUCUUUAAUUCUAGGACUUUAAGUUUUAAAAGUCUUAGAAACCUCAAACCUCAUCUAUAUGGAAUAUAGUUGUGGUAUUUCAGAGUAUUAAAAAAAUGAACGUUGAGGAGAGUUGUACCAAAAUUUAUCUUUUAGGCGUGAUAUUUCUUAGAUAGAU